rnacentral:rRNA from 1 species
GAUGAACGCUGGCGGCGUGCUUAACACAUGCAAGUCGAACGGACCUGCACAGCUUUUGUUGUGUUUGGUUAGUGGCGAACGGGUGAGUAACACGUGAGUAAUCUGCCGUGGUCUUUGGGAUAAGCACCUGAAAGGGUGUCUAAUACUGGGUAUUCUGUCUGCGUCGCAUGGCGUGGGUUGGAAAGCUUUUGUGGAUCAUGAUGAGCUCGCGGCUUAUCAGCUUGUUGGUGGGGUAAUGGCUUACCAAGGCUUUGACGGGUAACCGGCCUGAGAGGGUGGUCGGUCACAUUGGGACUGAGAUACGGCCCAGACUCCUACGGGAGGCAGCAGUGGGGAAUAUUGCACAAUGGACGCAAGUCUGAUGCAGCGACGCCGCGUGAGGGAUGAAGGCCUUCGGGUUGUAAACCUUUUUCGCCCCUGAACAAGGCCGCGCUUUGGUGUGGUUGAGGGUAUGGGGUAAAGAAGCACCGGCUAACUACGUG